rnacentral:misc_RNA from 1 species
GAUGAAGAACGUAGCGAAAUGCGAUACGUAAUGUGAAUUGCAGAAUUCCGUGAAUCAUCGAGUCUUUGAACGCACAUUGCGCCCCCUGGUAUUCCGGGGGGCAUGCCUGUCCGAGCGUCAUUGCUGCCCUCAAGCACGGCUUGUGUGUUGGGCCCCGUCCUCCGAUCCCGGGGGACGGGCCCGAAAGGCAGCGGCGGCACCGCGUCCGGUCCUCGAGCGUAUGGGGCUUUGUCACCCGCUCUGUAGGCCCGGCCGGCGCUUGCCGAUCAACCCAAAUUUUUUAUCCAGGUUGACCUCGGAUCAGGUAGGGAUACCCGCUGAACUUAAGCAUAUCAAUAAGCGGAGGA